GGAGGACUGAGCAGAUGGAACACUUGAGCAGAUGGAGCACUCCCGCAGAUGGAGGACUCAAGCAGAUGGAGCACUCGUGCAGGUGGAGCACUCACACAGAUGGAGGAUUUGUGCAGAUGGAGCGCUUGUGCAUGUGGAGCACUCACCAGAUGGAGCACUUGCGCAGAUGGAGGACUCAUGCAGAUGGAGCACUCGUGCAGGUGGAGGAUUGAGCAGAUGGAGCACUCAUGCAAAUGGAGCACUCAUGCAAAUGGAGCACUCAAACAGAUGGAGGACUCAAGCAGAUGGAGCACUC